rnacentral:rRNA from 1 species
AGUGAACGCUGGCGGUAGGCUUAACACAUGCAAGUCGAACGGCAGCACAGUAAGAGCUUGCUCUUACGGGUGGCGAGUGGCGGACGGGUGAGGAAUACAUCGGAAUCUACUCUUUCGUGGGGGAUAACGUAGGGAAACUUACGCUAAUACCGCAUACGACCUACGGGUGAAAGCAGGGGAUCUUCGGACCUUGCGCGAUUGAAUGAGCCGAUGUCGGAUUAGCUAGUUGGCGGGGUAAAGGCCCACCAAGGCGACGAUCCGUAGCUGGUGUGAGAGGAGGAUCAGCCACACUGGAACUUGGACACGGUCCAGACUCCUACGAGAGGCAGCAGUGGGGAAUAUUGGACAAUGGGCGCAAGCCUGAUCCAGCCAUACCGCGUGGGUGAAGAAGGCCUUCGGGUUGUAAAGCCCUUUUGUUGGGAGAGAAAAGCAGCAGGUUAAUACCCCGCUGUUCUGACGGUACCCAAAGAAUAAGCACCGGCUAACUUCGUG